GACGAACGCUGGCGGCGUGCUUAACACAUGCAAGUCGAACGGAAAGGCCCAGCUUUUGUGGGGUGCUCGAGUGGCGAACGGGUGAGUAACACGUGAGUAACCUGCCCUUGACUUUGGGAUAACUUCAGGAAACUGGGGCUAAUACCGGAUAGGAGCUCCUGCUGCAUGGUGGGGGUUGGAAAGUUUCGGCGGUUGGGGAUGGACUCGCGGCUUAUCAGCUUGUUGGUGGGGUAGUGGCUUACCAAGGCUUUGACGGGUAGCCGGCCUGAGAGGGUGACCGGCCACAUUGGGACUGAGAUACGGCCCAGACUCCUACGGGAGGCAGCAGUGGGGAAUAUUGCACAAUGGGCGGAAGCCUGAUGCAGCAACGCCGCGUGCGGGAUGACGGCCUUCGGGUUGUAAACCGCUUUCGCCUGUGACGAAGCGUGAGUGACGGCAAUGGGUAAAGAAGCACCGGCUAACUACGUG
rnacentral:rRNA from 1 species